rnacentral:lncRNA from 1 species
GGGAAGUCGCGCCCCCACGUCCGAAGCUAGAAGGGGGAGGCUGUGGGAAUUCCUUGUAGAUCGGGGGAAACGGUGACUCGGACUCCAGUCACAAAGCUCUCCACAUCACGUGACCGACCUCACCUUCGCUCCAGAAACGUCCUCAGUUUUAGCCGUGGCAAAUAAAGUGGAAGGACGUGACCUGCUCGUCCCCUCUAAAGGCCCUCGGCCUGGAUUGGGCCCUUCAGCGAACUCUAGUAUUCCAGGGUGCAACAUUCAAGGUCAAGGUCGGGCAGCGGCUGUCUAGGGUGCAGCGGGACUCUGGACUCCUCGGUUUCCUAACCGAGAAGGGGGAGCCCUGCAAAUUGGGGGGCCUUACUCUCGGGGAAGGGGUUCUUUCCCGUUACUGAUCACCCCUUCCGUGUGGGGUGGGAGGACCCUCCCCGGGUUCUGUGCGGGCUGAGCGCUGUGGCCGCAAUGGGUCCCCAAGUAGCCCUCCUGGUGGCGGCGCUAGCCGGCUGCCUGCUUCCUGCCGGGGGCUGUGUCAUAUGUGAUCAGAGGGUCGUGGCGGCUCUGGACGCCUUGGAAAAGGAAUACCUGCCUACCCACAUGGCGCGCGAGCGUCAGAGACAAGUGAUGGAAACGAUAAGACAAACCGUGAGAAAUUUCUGGGACCUGCCAUAUUUAGAGGAUGCCUUUAUGGGGGUUAUAGGUGAGGGCAGGGUAGAGCGUGGGAACCCCGGGUCGUGGAAAAAGAGGAGUCUGGUGCUAGGAUUCCUGGGAGCAGGGACGGGGCGCGGGGAGGGAGGGAAGGGCCGGAGCCAGAGUCUACUGGGUUCGUGAUGGAGAGGGCUGAGAUGCAGAUGCCAGGGCUUUCCGAGCGCUAGGAAAUACUGUGUUCUCCUACCCCUGACCCUGCAAUUUUAUGUACAAAACUACAACUCCCAGAAGGCAACAGACAGGCAAUCCUUUACAGCCCUAGCCUUGCCCAAUAGCCACAUGGGCAUUGUAGUUUUUAACACUAGCUGAGCCAAUGGGACCACAAGGCUUCGAAUCUGAGGUUCUAUCUCCCCUCCCCGCAUCCCCCGUGUCCCUCCAGAUGAGGCCACGAUGGAAACGUCAGUGUUGGGUUUUCUGAGGAGUAUGACACUUAUCACAAACAGUGACAUAGCAGGUAAAUGGCACAGUGGCCAGGGGAGGGGCUUCGGAAUCCUUUGGCUCUGGAGCCAAACUGCCUAGGUUCAAACACCGGCCCUGUCAUCCCCUGGCUGUGUGGCCUUUAGGGAGGGAUAUCACAGCUUUGUCACCUCCGAACUGGGUCAUAACGGUGCCUGCACCCAGGCCAGUGACUUAGCCCAGUGGCCAGCAUGGUUAAGUGGUCAUUCAAUUUCACUGCGCCUCCCGGAGAUGGCCCCAACCUGGAACGCCAGCCUCUUCAGACGGGUACCUGUACCUCCUCCUGGGGUGGGUGGGAGGAGGGGUCGCCCUCUGUCACCCUGCUCUUUCCCAGAUGACACUUUCGUGAAGGAGUUCUCCUGGAUGUUGACUCUGGAAAAGGCAGCCUUUCAGCGCAAUGUUGCUCGGUUCCAAAGAGAGGGUGAGGGAAGAUGGGUUCCCUCAGGGACCACAGCCCCUUCCUCCACCAGUCCCGGGGUCCCCGUCCCCAGUCCUCUGCUUCUCUAUGUCCAGCCCCUCACCUCUCCCAACAGCGUCCUCCCUCCAACCCAAGAGCCCAAACCCCAACCUAUUCCUUCUCCCCCUCUCUCGUGUCCUUUAACUUAGAAAUCUCAUCACUUUUUUUUUUUUCUUCCUUCUGAGGCAGAUUUCUGUCCCAACAAAUGUGGUGAGUCCAGAUUAGGGAAGCUGGUUUUCUAUCCCCCAUUCUGGCCCCGGUUAAUACCCAGCCUUUCUCCUCCUGCUUUGGGUCUCGAUGGUUCUUCCUUCCCCACGUCUGAGAGGUUCCUGGUCCCCAGUAGUCCUUCUGCACAGCGGACUUCCUGGGCGACGGGUCCUAUUCCAUGUGGGCUCCUCACUGAGCCCGGUUAGGUCCCUCUUCCGGCAGGUCUGCCUUCUAGCCCCGCCCCUUGGGCUGACCUCUCGGGAUUAGGCGCUGGGCCCCGCCCCAGCCCUUGACCCUGCCCUCUCCUUUUAGUCUCUUCUAUCAGGAUAAAUGCAACCUUGAUCCUGCCCCUUCAGGUAUGAUGUUGCAGCCUCUGAUCUGGUGCAGUAAUUGUAAAAAGCAGCUUCACGUUUGUCGAAAGUCCACAGAUUGCGGUGGUGAGAGAGCUGGGGCCAGCUGGAGGGAGUGGGGGUUGACUCAAGAGGGGCGGAGCCAGAGGAGAGCCGGGGUCUAGAGAGGCCAAAGAAAGGAGCCGGCCCACCAGAAAAGUGGGGGCCAAGACCAAGUGCGAGGGAGUUGAGGGAGAACCAAGAUGCAUCCCACCGUAACCGCCUGUCCCCAGUGCGCCAAAUCAACGUCCACGAAAAGGAAGACUUGGUCCUGGACUGUGAGCUCAACUGGCAUAAAUUAUCUCAAGGCCUGACCUAUUACAGCUUUUACAGGGUGGGCCCUUCAACCCCAUCAACCCCAAGUCCAUUAGGCUUGGUUGAGCGCCCACCCCGGUAUCCACAAGCUUGUUGCCACAAUCCCCAUGACCCAUGACCUACCAGGUUUGACUUCUACGGGUCCCCGGGGACCCCAUGCCCUUACCAGUAACCCUAGACUCCCAUCUCCCCCACUGAGAUCCCGUGAUGCUCUCACACCUGUACUUCCCCAAACCCUGAACUCCCCAGGCCUCUGUGACCCCUUGAGCUUGGGUCUAGGUUUGGGGGAGCAAUUCUGAGACCUUGGUGUACAAGGGGAAACAGCCCACCCUGACCAAGCCCCUGGUGGGGCCAGAGGAUGCAGGUGACUACCGCUGUGAGUUGGGCACUGUGAGAUCCCUCCCAGCCACGGUCAUCCAUUUUAAAGUCACAGGUCAGAGCUGGGGAGUCGACGGAAGUGUGGGAAUCAGGGUCCUGGGGUUAGGGGACAGUCAGCUUGGGGCAUGGCCUAUGGGGCAAAACUUCCUGUCGGGGUGUCAUUUCAGGCCACGGGGGUGUGGCCACCCGCCACGGUGGCCGGGGUCCAGGCAGAAAGGGUCGCGAUUGUCUCCUCCAAGGCCCGGGUCUUGGGGGAAGGUUGGAGGGGGGGGAGCUUGCCUGGGCCACGGGGGACCUUGGUGGCCUCCCAAGGCUGCUCUUUCUCUCUCCUCUAUCAGUGUUGCCUCAGAGAAUCAUAGAGGAGACACCGACAUCAAACUUUGAAACCGAGGAGCAGCUGUCCCCAACCCUCCAGCCUUCAGAGUACCCUAAGCCCGAGAAGGUGCUGAGAAGCCUUCUGGCAGGGCUGCUGAUCUGGGGCUUUGUGGUGCUGAUCAUCAGCUUUGUCACCGCGUGAGCCAACCCUGAUGAAGGCGGGGCACGAACAGAGGGACGGGGUCUCCAAAUCCCAAUGCAGGAGGGGGUCCUUUAAGGGAGAGGCCUUAGAAAAUGGUAGCGAUGAUCCAGCCUGGGUCAUUGCUGGAGUAAGACCAAAUAUAGGGAGGCGAGGAGGGCUAUCCCUCAAGACCUAACCUGGUUCCACUAUCUGCCCCCCGCCCUCCCCCAGCGUACUUUGCUUUCUGCCUGGGAACGUGAUGGAUUCCAUAAAGUCCUGGGUCCUCACAAACAGAGCAGCCGCCCUGCAGAGCCAGGUUCCGAAGGUACCGAAAGGAAACGACACAGCACCAAGUCACAAAUAAAGAUUUAUCUGGUUGCCUA